rnacentral:tRNA from 1 species
CAAAGUGUAGCUUAAACUAAAGCACCUGGCCUACACCCAGGAGAUUUCAUUAUUAUGACCACUUUGA